AGCAGCCGCCGCGGGAAUACGUAGGUGGCAAGCGUUGUCCGGAAUUAUUGGGCGUAAAGGGCUCGCAGGCGGUUUCUUAAGUCUGAUGUGAAAGCCCCCGGCUCAACCGGGGAGGGUCAUUGGAAACUGGGAAACUUGAGUGCAGAAGAGGAGAGUGGAAUUCCACGUGUAGCGGUGAAAUGCGUAGAGAUGUGGAGGAACACCAGUGGCGAAGGCGACUCUCUGGUCUGUAACUGACGCUGAGGAGCGAAAGCGUGGGGAGCGAACAGGAUUAGAUACCCCUGUAGUCCCUGUCUCUUAUAC
rnacentral:rRNA from 1 species